rnacentral:rRNA from 1 species
AGAUUGAACGCUGGCGGCAUGCCUUACACAUGCAAGUCGAACGGCAGCACGGGAGCAAUCCUGGUGGCGAGUGGCGAACGGGUGAGUAAUACAUCGGAACGUGCCCAAUCGUGGGGGAUAACGCAGCGAAAGCUGUGCUAAUACCGCAUAAGAUCUACGGAUGAAAGCAGGGGAUCGCAAGACCUUGCGCGAGUGGAGCGGCCGAUGGCAGAUUAGGUAGUUGGUGAGGUAAAGGCUCACCAAGCCUUCGAUCUGUAGCUGGUCUGAGAGGACGACCAGCCACACUGGGACUGAGACACGGCCCAGACUCCUACGGGAGCAGCAGUGGGGAAUUUUGGACAAGUGGGCGAAAGCCUGAUCCAGCCAUGCCGCGUGCGAGGAUGGAAGGCCGUUACGGGUUAGUAAACUUGCGUUUUUAGGUACGGUAAUAGAAAGUUCUUCUUUACUUAAUAAAG